CUGGAGACAGGUGCUGCAUGGCUGUCGUCAGCUCGUGUCGUGAGAUGUGGGUUAAGUCCCGCAACGAGCGCAACCCUUGCCUUUAGUUGCCAGCAGUUCGGCUGGGCACUCUAAAGGGACUGCCGGUGUUAAACCGGAGGAAGGUGGGGAUGACGUCAAGUCCUCAUGGCCUUUAUGACCAGGGCUACACACGUACUACAAUGGCCGAUGCAAAGGGCAGCGACACUGCGAGGUGAAGCCAAUCCCGUAAAAUCGGUCUCAGUCCGGAUUGGAGUCUGCAACUCGACUCCAUGAAGUUGGAAUCGCUAGUAAUCGUGGGUCAGCAUGCCACGGUGAAUACGUUCCCGGGCCUU
rnacentral:rRNA from 1 species